rnacentral:lncRNA from 1 species
AAGCAGAGGGGACGAUGAGGUGCGGAGGCGUUGGCAGUUGACUUUUGCUGAUGGAGCCUCUCUGAAGGGCAAAUUCAAAGUACAGCUGGGUGCUGCAGCACUGGAGUGCGAACUUGUGGCUGUGGUUAUGAAGGAGCCUCGUCAGCUAUGCCUUUAGCCCCUGGUGAAGCAGUGCCAGUCACACUUUGCCAGUCAAACGGAGAGGCAGCAGUAGUAAGACCAGACCAAAUCAAACCAAACCAAGCAAACCACGGGGAAUGGAGGUCAUGUGAGCACACAGCAUAAAGGCAGCUGCCCACAAGCCAGGAAGAGAAGCAUCAUCAGAAACCGACCAUACUGGCUUCCUGAUCUCAGACUUUCAGCCUCCAGAAUGAGAUGGGGGUGUGAAAGGAAAUGAAAUCUUGGGACCCUAAACUCAUUAAGCCAAAGGGAAAAGCUGGGCCGAGAACUGGAUGAUGCAACCUGCUUCCACCUUUUUGCUUCCUAAAUAAGAUGGCUACAAGAUGAAAAGCUAUACAUCUCUGCCAUAUUUUGCCCACAAGGAAAUUCCUAGUGAGCUUCAAGAUCUUUUAAGGUGUUUCUGUUAAAAUUUCACAAUUUCGCCAUUGCAAUGUAAAUUUAUAGCUUAUCCUUACAGGUGCAGUCAUCUCCCUGCCCACCAGACACAAAGGCAUAUCUGAUUGUUCUCCUGCCCCAUUUUGUCUAUGUUAUCUUAUGUAAAAUACAGAUACCCUGCAUUUUUCCUCUGCCCCAUUUGUCUAUAUCACCUUAUAUAAAAAAAUGCAGAGUCACUGAGCCGGACAAAGGCAUGAACGACUAUUUUUCCCUACCCCCGCUCUUACAUGAAAAUUGUGUACUUCUGAAUAUCCUGCCCUUUCCCCUUUAAAUUUGGAGCCCUCAGAAUCAUCUUCAGAGAAAGGCAUAGACCUGUCUCCCGGGCAUACAUCCUUAACUGUGGCAAAUAAACCUCCUAAAAUGAUUGAGACUUGUCUCGUCAUUUUUCUCGAUUGAUAUUGGUCUCACUAUGUUGCUCAAGCUGGUCUCAAACUCCUGGGCUCAAGUGAUCCUCCCACCUCAGCCUUUCAAAGUGCUGUGAUUACAGGUGUGAGCCACUGCACACGGCCAGGAGAUGUUAAUCAAAGGGUUUACAUGCUGUAAAGGCGAUGUAUAAAGAGUUAUAGGGAUCUUUCGUUUGCUUUUCCUCAUAUUUGUUGAGAACUGUGUAGGAAUUUCCCAUGGAUUUGAUAUUUGCCCAUUAACAGACACCAAGAGAAGUAGUCAGAAAACAUUCCCUAAAAUAAAGUGUGAGCCAACUCAGUGGUCUUCUUUGGAAGAGACCUGAGGGGAGGGAAGGUCACGUAGUGAUAAGCAGGGAUGCAGACUAUGGGGUCUGACU